rnacentral:lncRNA from 1 species
AAAGAGGAGAAGCUGCUCAUUGAUGACAGACCAGGUGACUGGGAGUAUGUAAUCAAUGUUGUUGAUUCAAACACUAGCUGAUAGUAACCUUGCAGCAGGAGAGCAGCUGAACUCAGGUUUUCUGCAUCUUGUCUGAGUGCUUUAUCUACUUCUGUGCCCUUUGGAAAACUCGCUAGCUGUUUCCUGGACUCCUGAGCACACUGAUUCUGAAGAUGCUACCCAAAAUGCUCUGAGGAUAAUCUUUUUAACAUGGACAGAUUCACCAGGUGCUCCUGAGGUCUGUUGUUAUGCAAGCAGCUGUCUCUCAAAGGUCCCAGUUUCUCCACGGAUGGGAUUCCUCUUUCUACAAGGGCUGAGUAUCCUGAUUGCAUGAAUGAUAUGCAUAGAAACUCUCAUCACUUGAGGAGUCCAUUACGGAAUUAUAUCUUUAACUCACGUGCAAAACUAAUCAUAUGAAGAAUGUUCAUGCUGCAGUUGGUUGAGAAGAACAAUACAGUA